GACGUAGGGCGCGAGCGUUGUCCGGAUUUAUUGGGCGUAAAGAGCUCGUAGGCGGCUUGUUGCGUCGGCUGUGAAAUCCCGUGGCUUAACUGCGGGCUUGCAGCCGAUACGGGCGGGCUAGAGUUCGGUAGGGGAGACUGGAAUUCCUGGUGUAGCGGUGAAAUGCGCAGAUAUCAGGAGGAACACCGGUGGCGAAGGCGGUC
rnacentral:rRNA from 1 species